CUUGGGCUCUGCACUCUGUACCCCCCACCUUCCUCUUUGGGAAAAAGAUCUUUCUUUGGCAUGGAGAGGCACAGCAUGGAGCAUGCCCAGCUGAAUUUCCAGACAUGCUGGGGACUUCCCGCAGCUCCUCCUGGGCUCAGGGAGUGCAAGCAGGCUUUGGAAUCGCCUCGAUCCUCACCUGGGCCAGCACCCUCCACUCUCCAGGCUUUUCCUCCUCCCCAGGUCCUCAGGAGCCUGCCCUGAUCCAUCCCUUGGGACCUCUAUCCAAAC
rnacentral:lncRNA from 1 species